AGCACCCCCGGUUCGCCCGGCCCGGCACCCGCGCUGGGGGCCGCGGGGAAGCCGCGGCCCCUAGACGAUAAAAUGGCCGCAGUAAGGCUGCGCCCGGUAAUGCCUCGGGCUCUCCCUCUCUCCCCUUGAUCAGCUCGGAAGCGGCAGCUUUUGGGAGGUGAGGAGGUGGAUCGGUCUGCGUAAAAUGAAUGGACUUUCAGGAGCGUGGAAGCCCAUGGCGCAACUCUGGGGCCCGCUCGUCUAUCACCGUGCUCACACUUGGGUUAGAGGCCACGCAGGUAUUAGGAGUUCUUACAAAUCAUAAAACCUGUGGCCUAAUCAAGGCGUAUUUAAAUGCAAAACUGGAUUCUGCAAAACGAACAGCGUUGCCAAGCCAACUAUACAGAAAUUGCAAGUCAUGCUCUCAGGUCCCUGUGAACUCUAGUCCUGUCCUUAACCUCGGAAGACUGGAAUACGAUUCCCAAAGAUGUGUAAGAAGACUUUCAUAUCUGUGUAAAAGUCCAAAGUUCUUCUUAGUCUUUUUCUUCUUUUCUACAAGAUGAGGAACGUCAUUCUGAGAUAUUACUUCCCCUGCUAGAAGGAUGUGGAUGUCCACUGCUAUUUUUGAAGAUGUCAUUUACGUUCUUUAAUGGAGGUGUAUCCUAACAGCACCAAUCCACAUGAAACAGAGUAAUUGUCAAAUGGUGGAGUGCGUAUUUAGAAGGCUCAAUGCAACAUGAAGUUUUCAAUGCAAGAUGAAGUUUUCUCGAGAAUUAUAUGGAUAGCCAAACUAUGAUUAGUAAGAUUCCUAUGAAAUAAGAGCUAAGAAAUACUCAUGGAGUCAUGGCCUCAGCCCUGAUAAUCUGUAGAAAACUUUGGAUAAGCAGUAAGAGCCCUGAAAGAGGGGAGGUUAAAGAAAUGGGAGUUGUCUUGUAUAAUACUGUAUAAGGACAUCUCAGCGGGAGGGGAUGUUCUAACUCAUAGUGAUUUGUGAGUUCUGCAGGAUUUGUUAACAAGCUGUCCCAGUUUAUAAAGUGGCCUAUCACAAGCAUGUGUUGUAACUUUGAAGAUUCUCUAAGUCUUUAUGCUCUUUGAUAAAUGACAGUGUUAUGUAUUCUCUCUUUGAUUCAUUCCAGGCAUAUAUAAUCCUUAUCAUUAGCUACAUGUAUAAAAAUUAGAUUAAUCUGGUUGUCAUUGGUGUAGUAUUCCUAAUGGGUACCAUCAGGUUGUAGCCUCUUUCAAGUAGUCACAUGUAGCUGUUAAAACAAGGAGGCCAAGAGGCCUUGAGACAAUGGGGUCAGGGAAUAGCUGCUACCACGCCAAGUCCUGUCAGAAAUCAUUGCAGCCUCUAUAAUAACACACUCAUGUCGCAUAAAAAUGUCUGUAGCAUUGCUAUUAAUUUUGUCAAAAGCUAAGGAGAUGUUAACUGCUGUGAACAUAACCAGGGUAUGAUUGGCCUGUAGAUUUUUACAGGAGUGGGUUAGACUGGUUUUAGUGCUUCACUCCUUUUUCUGUGAAAAAAUCUUGAGAGUCACUUUGGUAGUUAUUUGUCUUUUUUGGCUG
rnacentral:lncRNA from 14 species